UCCGUAGGUGAACCUGCGGAAGGAUCAUUAGUGAUAUUGAAAAUCCAUUUUUCAAGUCUCUAUAUAUACCCUUUUGUCAACCAUACCUUUGUUGCUUCCACUGGACCGACAUCAUUGUAUGUCGUCUGGCAUCUUGUAUGCUGGGGAGUGCCGGUGGAAAGAUUUACAAUUUAAACUUGUCUUUAGAAACACUUGUCUGACAACUUUAUUCUUUAAUAAGAUAAAACUUUCAACAACGGAUCUCUAGGCUCUUGCAUCGAUGAAGAACGCAGUGAAAUGCGAUAAGUAAUGUGAAUUGCAGAAUCUCGUGAAUCAUUGAAUCUUUGAACGCACAUUGCGCCCUAUGGUAUUCCGUAGGGCAUGCCUGUCUGAGCGUCAGCUCGUCUUCUCAAGCUCUUUUGCUUGGAUAACAUUAAGGAAGCAUGUUCUCUGUAACUUGCUCCUUAGAAAUUCAUAGGCGGUACGGUUCUUGCAAACCAGACGUAAUAAUACUCUUAUAUGUCGUCCUUUGUAUAGUGCUGUUGGCUUGGCCUCAUAAUCCACAUCCUUUAUUCAAGGAUGGACCUCAGGAUCAGGGGUAGGGGGGGAUACCCGGCUGGAACUUAAGG
rnacentral:rRNA from 1 species